rnacentral:rRNA from 1 species
ACAGCAGUCGCCGCGGUAAUACGUAGGGUGCAAGCGUUGUCCGGAAUUAUUGGGCGUAAAGAGCUCGUAGGCGGUUUGUCGCGUCUGCUGUGAAAUCUGGGGGCUCAACCCCCAGCCUGCAGUGGGUACGGGCAGACUAGAGUGCGGUAGGGGAGAUUGGAAUUCCUGGUGUAGCGGUGGAAUGCGCAGAUAUCAGGAGGAACACCGAUGGCGAAGGCAGAUCUCUGGGCCGUAACUGACGCUGAGGAGCGAAAGCAUGGGAGCGAACAGGAUUAGAUACCCCUGUAGUCCCUGUCUCUUAUACA